GAUGAACGCUGGCGGCGUGCCUAAUACAUGCAAGUCGAGCGAACAGACGAGGAGCUUGCUCCUCUGACGUUAGCGGCGGACGGGUGAGUAACACGUGGAUAACCUACCUAUAAGAAUGGGAUAACUUCGGGAAACCGGAGCUAAUACCGGAUAAUAUAUUGAACCGCAUGGUUCAAUAGUGAAAGACGGUUUUGCUGUCACUUAUAGAUGGAUCCGCGCCGCAUUAGCUAGUUGGUAAGGUAACGGCUUACCAAGGCAACGAUGCGUAGCCGACCUGAGAGGGUGAUUCGCCACACUGGAACUGAGACUCGGUCCAGACACCGACAGGAGGCCACAGCUGGGAAUCUUCCGCGAUGGUCCAAAGCCUGGCGGUGGAAAGCCGCGUGAGUGAUGAAGGUCUUAUGAUCGUAAAACUCUGUUAUUAGGGAAGAACAAAUGUGUAAGUAACUAUGCACGUCUUGACGGUACCUAAUCAGAAAGCCACGGCUAACUACGUG
rnacentral:rRNA from 1 species